rnacentral:tRNA from 1 species
CGAGACGUAGCUUUAAACAGAAAGCAUUCAGCUUACGCCUGAAAGAUAUCUGCUCGCACCAGGUCGUCUCGA